GGGCGGAUAGCUCAGCGGGAGAGCACGUCCCUUACAAGGACGGGGUCGCAGGUUCGAACCCUGCUCCGCCCACCA
rnacentral:tRNA from 3 species